UACGAAGGGUGCAAGCGUUACUCGGAAUUACUGGGCGUAAAGCGUGCGUAGGUGGUUCGUUAAGUCCGAUGUGAAAGCCCUGGGCUCAACCUGGGAAUGGCAUUGGAUACUGACGGGCUAGAGUGCGGUAGAGGGCAGUGGAAUUCCCGGUGUAGCAGUGAAAUGCGUAGAGAUCGGGAGGAACAUCUGUGGCGAAGGCGACUGCCUGGACCAGCACUGACACUGAGGCACGAAAGCGUGGGGAGCAAACAGG
rnacentral:rRNA from 1 species